AAAAUGCCGGGGUAAAAGGAAAUCGGGUGAAAAUCCCGAGCAGAGCCGCUGCCGUGAGUUUCCGAUAAGACCGUUUCAUCAAUGCCACUGCCGGUAAUCAUACGGUGGGAAGGCGAAACGGGACAGGAAUGAGCCGGAAAGCCUGCCAUAGCUGUU
rnacentral:ncRNA from 1 species